rnacentral:rRNA from 1 species
AGUGAACGCUGGCGGUAGGCCUGACACAUGCAAGUCGAGCGGCAGCACAGUAAUAGCUUGCUCUUACGGGUGUCGAGUGGCGGACGGGUGCGGCAUACUUCGGAAUCUACUUUUUCGCGGGGGAUAACGUCGGGAACCUUACGCUAAUACCGCAUACGACCUACGGGUGACAGCAGGGGAUCUUCGGACCUUUCGCGAUUGUAUGAGCCGAGGUCGGCUUAGCUAGUUGGCGGGGUAAAGGGCCACCAAGGCGACGAUCCGUAGCUGGUCUGAGAGGAUGGAUAGCCACACUGGAACUGAGACACGGUCCAGACUCCUACAGGAGGCAGCAGUGGGGAAUAUUGGAGGAUGGGCGCAAGCCGGAUCCAGCCAUACCGGGUGGGUGAAGAAGGCGUUCGGGUUGUAAAGCGCUUUUGUUGGGAAAGAAGAACAGCAGGUUUAUCCCCCGCUGUUCUGACGGUACCCAAAGAAUAAGCACCGGCUAACUUCGUG